rnacentral:rRNA from 1 species
GGCGAGUGAAGCGGCAACAGCUCAAAUUUGAAAGCUGGCCCCCCCCGGGGGUCCGCGUUGUAAUUUGUAGAGGAUGAUUCGGCGAGGGCUCCCGCCUAAGUCCCCUGGAACGGGGCGUCAUAGAGGGUGAGAAUCCCGUAUGCGGUGGGCUGCCUUAGCCAUGUGAAUCUCCUUCGACGAGUCGAGUUGUUUGGGAAUGCAGCUCUAAAUGGGAGGUAAAUUUCUUCUAAAGCUAAAUACCGGCCAGAGACCGAUAGCGCACAAGUAGAGUGAUCGAAAGAUGAAAAGCACUUUGGAAAGAGAGUUAAAAAGUACGUGAAAUUGUUGAAAGGGAAGCGCUUGCAGCCAGACUUGCCCGCAGUUGCUCAGCCGGUCUCCUGACCGGCGCACUCUUCUGCGGCCAGGCCAGCAUCAGUUCGGGCGGUCGGAUAAAGGCCCCGGGAACGUAGCUCCUCUCGGGGAGUGUUAUAGCCCGGGGUGGAAUGCGGCCAGCCUGGACUGAGGAUCUCGC